rnacentral:lncRNA from 1 species
CGGAGGACGGGCGCGUGGUGGAUGCGCGGGACGGGCCGGAUCCCCUGGCCCCCCGCAGCGGUGGCGCGCCAGGGCGCGUCGUCGCCCGCGAGGAGCGGCCGCUUGGAGCCGGCGUGGGGGGACACGGACGAGGCCGCGGGGGCGGUGGUGGCCGCCGGGAGGGCGGCCGGUGAGGAGGUGGUGGUGGUGGUGAGGGACGCCAUCGGAUAAGGCGGAGGGCCGAGAGGGAAGCGUUCCGCUUGCGUGUUGGGCUCGCUCGCGCUGUGGUG